rnacentral:lncRNA from 1 species
UCCCGGUCCCUUCCCGGGCCCGGAGCGCGAGGCCCCGCCCAGGACCGCCGCGCGUCUGCAGGCGGGGCUCGGCCGCCUCUGGGUCCCGCUUGAAAUUCUGUAGAAGCCUGAAAGCUCGCGGAGCGCGGACUCCGAAUGAGGAAACUGAGGCACUGAGGACUUCAGGAACUUGCCCACUGUUUCACAGCCAGGAAGAGGCAGAUUGCAGAUUUGGAGCCCAGAGAGUGCUGUUCUUAGUGUACACUGCCUCCUUGAUGCUGCUGGUCUCCCCCGGUGCCACCUCCAGCUUCGGGCUCCAGAACCUUCACGGUCAGGCUCUGGGUUCUGACCUUUUCCUGUCUUCAGCAACUAAAGAAUAAGAAGCAGGCAGAGACACAGAUGCUCCACGGCAGCCCUCCACGGACACCCAGCAAGCGGCGAGGUCUGGCACCCAGCACUCUGGGCAAAGUGCGCAAGAUUCUAAGCUCCCAGGAUUCCAUUAUCACUGAGAUGCUAAGAGUGAACAGAUGUAAAGUGUCAAAAGCUAAAUGAGAAAAAGAAGAGAACAGUCAUUCGGAGCCCCAGCAAGUAUCAUGGAACGCCCUGGGAUGUGCCCAGGAAACUAGAGUCACCGGAGGCUCACUUCAAAAGCUGGUCUUCAGUUGCGGCUGAGCAAAGUCCCGGCCUGCGGGUUCCAGCCCGUUGACACUGGAUCACGAAACACAAAUAGGUGUCAUUACUUCUACCAGUUUGAGGAGAAAAACACCCGCUGGUGUCAAGCCUGGAACCAAUGAGAAGAACCUGGAGCUCAUUGGCAGCAUCCUCAGUGGUGGGUACCCUGACUAACCCCAGCCCUCGGCGCAACUCCAGCAUUAAUUCUGUUGCCAGCACCUAUUCUGAGUUUGUGGCAAUUCACCUUUUCUAAUAUCCACCAGUCCCUGGGGAGCACACAGUUAGAGCAGAGUGGGUAUCUUUUCAAGGACACCCAAGCUAUUAGUUAGGACAGUACUUUGAAGGCUGAGACUCACUUUCCUGCCUUGACCAUGAUAUGAGGGGUGGUAGUUUAAGGGAGGUAUCUAGGAAGGAAGAUGGCAGCAGCAACCAGGCAUUUCACCUGGAUCCUUCUGCUUAAGAAAUAACUUUCACUGGCUGCAGGAGAUGACCCUGCUAAUUGCUGCCCUGGUGCUCUCUUGGUGGAGUUCUUGGUAAUUGUCUUAAUUCUUUGUUCUUAGAAGGAUCCGUCCCUUUCUGACAGCUCCACUGUUGGGCUUCAGGUCUGUAUGGCAACCCCUGCACGUCCCCUUUUCAAACUGAUCUGUCAUCUGCCAGCUUCAUUACCGUCUGGACAUAGGGCUACACUAACCAGUCUCAGCUGUACAAGCUCAUAAAAACCUUUUUUUUUACAAAGGAAGUAGAAAUUCCUAACAUAGAUUUCAAAAAUAAUAACUAUCUGGUUUAAAUUCCCAACCUGCUGAUUAACUUAUUCAGACUUGGAUUCUCAGCCCAUGUAAAGUCAGGCUGGGUCGGAGUUCCCGUUGUGGCUCAGUGGUUAACGGCUCCAACUGAGCCACGAGGUUGUGGGUUAAGGAUCCGGUGUUGCCGUGAGUUGUGGUGUAGGUCGCAGACGUGGCUCGGAUCCCGAGUUGGCUGUGGCUUUGGCGUAGGCUGGUGGCUAUAGCUCCAAUUAGACCCCUAGCCCGGAACCUCCACAUGCCACAAGUGCCGCCCUAAAAAAGACAAAAAAAAAAAAAAAAAGAAAGGCCAAGUUGUUUUUUUAAUUUAAUCACGUUAUUUUACAUCAGAAAACUUCACCCUCCCCAGUUGUGACAUUGAAGGUCCCCAGUGCACUGGAGAUGAUAGAGGCCCCAUCACAUGGGGCGGGGAGCCCCAGCUGUGUGCUGCCUAUGAGGUUCUUGGCCUGUGUGCUGAUUAUUUCCUGGAGUCUAUGUCUUACUAACCCCUCAGAGCUGAAUUGCCCACUUUGCUUCUGCUCUGAGCUACCCAAGGCUCAUUUCUUUGCCUUUGCCUGUUUCUGUCGCAUAGAGCUGCUAAAGCAGGGAUGGAGCACUGGAAGGAAGCGAUUUCUCCCAUGAUGCUCUCCGGCCCCUAGUAACCUGCUCCUUCGCCAGCUCUGAACUGCCGUGCCCUUUCCUUCACGGUGGAUGUUCUCUCCUCCCUCUUUAUGUUCCUGGUGAGAGGCGAGGCUGCCCCUCACCCUGGGAGGGGAAUAUCGAGUUAAAGCUGAACGUUUGGUCAGUUUCUAUGUGCUUGAAAGCCUGGACAUGCUCCAUUACCCCGGGCCUCACUUACAGGAGUGAAUGAGUAACAGAUGGAAAUCCGUCACAGGCCCAGUGGGUCCUUAGACACUUGGUUUUAUUUUGACUCAAGAAAUGCCGUAAAACUUAGUUCAUAGCAGUAGGUGUAAGUUUGAGCGCAUGAACCUAACUCCGUUCCCUGCCCGUAACUGUGCUUGUGGAAGCCCUGCCAGGGGCUUGUCACUGGCUUCACCGUUACUCAGCAGGAUGAUCGUGCUCGUCCUCUGGCUGCGGGCCGUGAAGCAGUUUUGGUUUGUGCACUUGGGGUUAGCAAGCGAUAUCUUUUUUUUUACGGACGUCGAAAUAAUGCAGUAGCUUCCAAGGCUUUGCUCUCACCUAAAGCCUGUCCCCAGCACUCAGGGGACAGCCUUCCUCCUGAUGGAGAUGUCUGGGUGUCAGAAGGUGCAAUGCCCUGACUCACUGCCCAACAGGUGACAGGGAGGCUGGGAGCACCUUUUUUUUGCCUUUUCUAGGGCCACGCCCAGGGCAUAUGGAGGUUCCCAGGCUAGGGGUCGAAUCGGAGCAGAAGCCGCCAGCCUAUACCAGGAUCACAGCAACGCAGGAUCUGAGCCACGUCUGCAACCUACACCACAGCUCUCGGCAACGCUGGAUCCUUAACCCACUGAGCAAGGUCAGGGAUCGAACCCGCAAGCUCAUGGUUCCUAGUCGGAUUCGUUAACCACUGCGCCACGACGGGAACUCCCAGGAGCACCUUUAUUACUGGGUACAGUUCUGUUUUGUAGGGCGGGGCCUUUGUAGGGUGUGCGUAUGCACACACAUGCUUGUCUGAACUCUGCUUCAGUUUUUCUCUGGGUCAAGUUCCUCCGCCCUCGUCACCUGCCAACUUAGUGGGAGGCCGUGUGGAUGGGCUGGGCCGUCUCCAUUGCGGAGACCUGGAACUUUGCACAUGUCAGUACUGGGGAGUUGUUCCUGCUGUAGUGUCCACAGCGAGACUCCUUCUUUACCUACCCUGUUGAUACUGUGCCCCCAAAGCACUAUUAUUUAUUCUUCUUGUGUGCCUGUGCCAGCACUACUGUCAGCACAUUAAAUGGUUCUCAGCUGCUUACCAGUGUGGACUUGGUCUGUGUCAGCCAUACUGUUUAGUCAUAUGUAUACAUGUCCUGAUUUUAAAAUAUAAAUGUAUUCUCAAAAUAAAUUAAAAUGUGUAU